UUUCCGAAAUAUUUAAUGUUUGGAAGCAUACAGUAACAGUAAUAAUACUGCUAACGGGUGUGACAGGGGAGCGUUGCCAGUUUCCUAUAAAUAUCUGCCGUCUUCUGUAGGAACCUGAGAAGCAGCAGUCCUCCCAGUUUACACAGCUGAGCGGCAUGUGGCCCCGGCCUUCUUCCUUUACUUCUUCUCCCUUCCCAGACAGCUCCCUCUCCUCCUGCACCUUGCCCUCCAUCCGCUGGGCUCCUCGGUUUCCUUGGCCUGUGUUUCGGCGGGACUGUGCGGUUUUGUGGGCUGGGGUGCGAGCGGCGGAGGAGCCACUGUGAGACGGAGCUCUGAGAUGACCCGGUGUCACCGUGGCCGAAAGAAAACCACUCUCUUCAUCCAUUCUCUUGUCUCUUCUUUCAACCCUCUGUUCCUGUGUCCACUAAUUUCCUUCCCUCUCGCAGCACAUCUGUCGUCAUAAUCAGGACCAGCCAUCCUCAGGAAGGGUGUAAACUCACACACAGAAGCAGAAAGUUAAAAAAAAUCGUCAGACUCCGAAGAAACUGGAUACAAAGUGAAAAUGAUCAGAGCCUAAAGAAAUGGAUCCGACUACAUUAGCACACCACACUGUUUUAAGUGCUGUAUUGCAGUGAGUAUCAAACAUUUAGCAGGUGUGUGUUUCUCUGCAUGUGAAAUGAGGGUGUGGCACAGAGUGUGUGUGUAUGAAUAUGUCAGGGUUUGUCUUUGAAUAACGAAUAAUAAGAAAAUUAAAUGAAAACACAUAUUUUAACUAGAAUUGAAUGAUAUUACAGAAAUACAUGCUCAGUUUCAUUAUUUAAUUUCCUGAUCUAAUUUUAGAAGUUUACUUGAGAUGAUAUUUACCAUAAGUAAUUCCACUUACAUAACAUGCCCUGGUCCUGUUUUAGAAGUUAAAGUACAUGUUCCUGUCGCUGGCGGACUCUCAGAGUUAUAAAUAUGACGAAACAUUCCAGAAACACUAAAGAGAGGUGCAGUAAAAAAUGAAAAUAAAAUUAAAAAAAAAAAAAAAUCAAGACUUGUGUCUCCAAUGGUCUUUGUUUCCCCCUGUUGGCUGUCAACUGUAGCUCAGGCCUGGUUGUCCUGGUAGAGCGUAGUAACGUAACUAACAGUCAAAUAACAAACAAAGUAAAUUACCCUCUGUGUUCUUGACCUUCAGUUUCUGCACAUGCUGUUACAGAAUGCCUUUCUAAAAUUGUAGGGAAGUGUCAAAAUAAGGCCAUCAGGCUAAUGUCUUAAGGAAAAUAAAGAAGAGGCCCCAGGAAGGCGCCGUUGAAAGGGAAUCCUCCAGAAAGACAGAACACUGAGAGGUGGGCCUGAGCUCCUGUCUUUGCUGCAGGCUGCUCUCAGCUGAGGCCGCAGGUCUUCUGUGUCAUAUUCUAGGGUUGCCUGGCACCUAAAUAACAGUACAGGGUUGCGGUGAGCCGGAGCCUAACCCGGCAACGCA